UUGAAACACUGGUUCUCGACUGAUCACCAAAUAUAAGCAACAUUGAGCUUGAUCAGUACCGAGAUGGGUAACCACUUGGGAAUACCAGGUGCUGUAAG